rnacentral:rRNA from 1 species
UUUGUCGCGUUCUGCCGUGAAAGUCCGGGCUCAACUCCGAUCUGCGUGAGUACGGCAGACUAGAGUGAUGCAGGGAGACUGAUUCCUGGUGUAGCGUGAAAUGCGCAGAUAUCAGGAGGAACACCGAUGGCGAAGGCAGGUCUCUGGGCAUUAACUGACGCUGAGGAGCGAAAGCAUGGGGAGCGAACAGGAUUAGAUACCCUGGUAGUCCAUGCCGUAAACGUUGGGCACUAGGCGUGGGGGACAUUUCCACGUUUUCCGCGCCGUAGCUAACGCAUUAAGUGCCCCGCCUGGGGAGUACGGCCGCAAGGCUAAAACUCAAAGGAAUUGACGGGGGCCCGCACAAGCGGCGGAGCAUGCGGAUUAAUUCGAUGCAACGCGAAGAACCUUACCAAGGCUUGACAUGAACCGGAAACACCUGGAAACAGGUGCCCCGCUUGCGGUCGGUUUACAGGUGGUGCAUGGUUGUCGUCAGCUCGUGUCGUGAGAUGUUGGGUUAAGUCCCGCAACGAGCGCAACCCUCGUUCUAUGUUGCCAGCGCGUUAUGGCGGGGACUCAUAGGAGACUGCCGGGGUCAACUCGGAGGAAGGUGGGGACGACGUCAAAUCAUCAUGCCCCUUAUGUCUUGGGCUUCACGCAUGCUACAAUGGCCGGUACAAAGGGUUGCGAUACUGUGAGGUGGAGCUAAUCCCAAAAAGCCGGUCUCAGUUCGGAUUGGGGUCUGCAACUCGACCCCAUGAAGUCGGAGUCGCUAGUAAUCGCAGAUCAGCAACGCUGCGGUGAAUACGUUCCCGGGCCUUGCACACACCGCCCGUC